AGCCUCCCUUUCAUUUGACACGUCGUGGUUGGGGCGAGUUUCCUGUGAGGAUCCAGAUCCACUUCAAAGACCCUCGCAACAAACGCAUUGACAUCAUCCACCAGCUUAAGCUGGACAGAACAUACACGGGGCUCCAGACACUCGGGGCAGAAACUGUGGUUGAUGUAGAGCUCCAUAGGAACUCUCUUGGGGAGGACUAUAUCCCUCAGCCCUCUUCCUCCAAGGUGACUCACAAAGCAGCCAGCCCCACGUUGGCUUCCUCCCUGGCCCAAAGUUAUGGACGCUCCAGUUCCCCCAUCUCACAUGAUUCCAGUGUAGAC